CGGCCUGAGGUCGGACGAGGCUACCCGCUGAAUUUAAGCAUAUUACUAAGCGGAGGAAAAGAAACUAACGAGGAUUGACUCAGUAACGGCGAGUGAAGCGGGACGAGCCCAGCGCCGAAUCCGGCCGCUUAUGGAGCGGACGGAAUUGUGGCGUAUGGAAUUGCCUUCGAGCGCGGACCGGCU
rnacentral:ncRNA from 1 species